GGCCAGUGUAAGUUGCUUUAUAAAAGUGUAUUUAUUUGGUCUUGUAAUUUACAGGAAGCAGUAUCCCGUCUUCACAACUCAGAGACAAAUUGUAGGCGCUACGAACCGGAGCAAGGACUAACCUCGCAUCAUAACGAGGCCGUGACCUAUAUUUGCUCGGAGCUAUGUCUGCAAGUCCAGAUUUACAUGAUGUUGACAAUGACGGCAUUGUGUCUGCCUGUAAUUACGAGACAGUAAGCAGGAGCUUCAGGUAGAAACAACCAGAUCUUGCAUCACAGGCGGAAGCUGUGAAGAGUUCAGCUCAGAGUCCAGCGAG